CUGGCUCAAGUACAGUGGGUGGCAUAGCUGUAGCAGAGCAGAGACAAGCAAGUGCUGCAGAAUCCAAAGAACCAGAGCUUUAGAUAAAUAGCGACGCUUCUGGAAGGUCAGCCUGUGCCUGGAGGGAGAGGCCGAAGGUUCAGCACUGCUUCUGUAAAGAGCUUCUCAGAAGGAGGUGACAGCAGUGGUUACCCUGACCAGGAACGUGCCGCUUUCUACAGCCUGGACGCAGAGGCCUGUGCAGGAUCAGCCUCUCAGAGAAGGUAAGCUCUAAUAAUUAUUUUGUCUUUGCUCUCAUUCUUUGCAUUCAAGGAUGGUCUGAAACUUUGCAUAAUGGAGGAAGAAAGUCUCUCGAGGUAGAAGAUACUGUAUUUUGCUGUUCUAGCUACUAAAUUAAUUAAUCAGCCUACUGAAUAUUUGAUACAGCUGUGUACUACAGCUGGUUGUUGCAGUGUCUUGAUCCCA
rnacentral:lncRNA from 1 species